rnacentral:lncRNA from 1 species
GCAUACUUUACCCAAGGGAACUGGGCUUUCUAAGCCCAAAGCUCUCAUGGGAUGUAAAUAGUGAAGCUGGAGGCUAGGAUGUCAGGGUGUUAGGGAGGUUGGCUAUGCUUGCAAAGCAGGAAUGCUGAGUCAGUUGAUGGAGGCAGAUUUUGAUGAGUGUUGUGAAUUACUGGUUUGGCGUGAAACACGAAAUGGCUUUGUACCAAACCGUUGGCAAGGAGAAAAGGGCUGAUACGGGCAGAGACCCCCACUGGCUUAGGUAGAGUGACAGUGUCUGUGAGCUUCUUCUCAGAGACCUGGAGAGCCUGCAGAGUCUUACAAAAUCCUCCCGAGGAGGGAGCAACUCAGAAGCUGUCCCAUACAGAAGGAGGAGGCUCAUUUUUCUGUCUCAGUGACCUGUGGAUAAAGUCUAUUUCUCAGGACAAUAGAAAAGAGGACAAAGCUGGCUGGUUGGUGGAUGAUAGCUGCCCUUGUAACGGAGGCUGGCUGUUGAAGGAGGAGACCCGUGCUUGGGAGUUCUGCAAGCUGAUUCGUUACUGGAAAUCACUCUGGCCACUAAGAGACUCCUUCUGAGGUGGUCAAAGGAGGCAACACAGACGGAGGAAGGAGGACUGGAGGAGAAGCCGGCAGGAGGCUGCCCAGCCAGAGAUGGAGAACAAGCUGAGGCCCUCCCUGAGCAAGGGUAAAUGCUCUGUCUCCCUUUCUCAGUGGCUGUGGGGACUACCAGAGAACAGGUCUGGUUUGCAGGGAUCGCCGUGACAGCACAGGGAUGAGCACCCAGCAAGGGGACAGAGUCUGGAGACUGGGCAGUUAGGACAGCAGGCCCCAGAACCAAGCAGAACUGCCCCCGCCAUUCUCCAACCGUUCCUACUCUCUUCCUCAUCUGUGAAAUGGGUAUGACCACAGCAGCUACCUUCUAAGGCUUUGCGAAUAUUGAGGAGCACAAAGCACAUGUAGGGCUCAGCAUGCUUGGCACAGACCCUCAGUACACAGUAGCCACCAUUAUAAUAAUUUGUUCUCGAUGGGCUCUGCUGAAUGGAAUCCAUGGAACAAAGAAAGGGCUUGGGAGCAGGAAAGCACUGGACGGACGCGAUCAUGACUCAUUUUAAUGCCACUCUCUCCCCAGCACCUACCCCUUCUAGGCCGGUGACAGUGGCCAGCUCCCGAAGGAGAGGCUGCACACCUUUCAUUUAACCUUGGUUUGUUCUCAUCUCUUUUGGUCAUGAUCUUUCCUCUCCUCCUCCUCAAAAGAAAGGGUAAGGCAUAGGAAUCCUUGGUUCUGCAAAGAGGCGGGCCCAUCUCUUGCUUGAUUCCACUGGAAAAAUCAGAACAAUUCCUAUUAUUUUCGGUUCCCAGACCUUGAAUGUGUCAGGCUUCAGGUUCACUUCCUACAUGUCUCUCGUCGCCGGAUCUGCAAGUAAUUUAACCUUGUUUUUAUAGAGCGCAAAGACGUUCCGCUUGUUUACAUUGGAGACAAAUUUUCCUCAAUUGACGCAAUCCUAUUGAUUAAAUAAUGACUUUCUUCCUCAUUUAAAGGUAAUUUCGGUUGGUAUCAUGACACGGAGGAGGAAAGUGAAUGCCUUUUCUGUCCUGCUGGGUGAAUGGCAGGCUGUGAGGGCCAAAUCCCACCGUCCUGGGAGGGGCCUUCUCAUUUUUCUCACCUGUUCUGGAGUCUUGGCAGGUUGGUGGAGUAAAGCUGAUGCCAGGACCCUGUGAGAAGGUUGGUUAAACACAGACAGAUCUUGAUUAGGGGCAUUAAGGAGCCUGUAUUUGCUCGGGAAUGGAUAUCAAGCCUGGGCUGGGUAGAUGCCCCUCUGUUUUAAAAAUGGAUUUGGGGGAGGGUUGGGGGGGGUGGGUAAAAUGGGUGAAGAGGGUCAAAAGAUACAAACUUCCUGUUAUAAAAUAAAUAAGUCCUGGGGACAUAAUGUACAGCAUGGUGACUUUAGUUAAUAAAACUAUAUUUCAUGUUUGAGAAUUGAUAAGAGAAUUAAUUAUAAUGCUCAAGAAAAAAAAAUGUAUAACCAUGUAUGAUGAUGGAUAUUAACAAGACUUGUGAUGCUCAUUUCAUAAAUCAUACAAACAUUAAAUCAUUCUGUUGUACACCUGAAACUAAUAUAAUGUUAUAUAGCAAUUUUACCUACCUCAAUUAAAAAAAAUUAUUUAAAUGGAUUGGAUUUGCUUUUAGGAUUUUUUUUCUUUUUAAGAUUUUAUUUCUUUACUUGACAGAGGAAUGAGACAGAGUGUGGGAAGGAGCAGAGGGAGAGGGACAAGCAGACACCACACUGAGCACGGAGCCUGACCUGGGGCUUGAUCUCAGGACCCUGAGAUGAUGACCCGAGCUGAAAUCAAGAGUCUGACGCUUAACUGAUUGAGCCACCCAGGUGCCCUCCUUUUUAGAUUAUUAACAUCUAAUAAACUAGGACCUGCACAUAAAUUGUUUUUCAAGGUCAUAUCAUGUAAUAGUCAGGACCUGUCAUCUGAGCCAAGAAUAUAAGGUCAAAGGGAAAGAAAGCCCACACAACAGAAAGAAGGGCAGAGGACAGCAUGACUCAGGAAGGGCACCAAGAUGGGGGUGGGGGUGGCCCUAGAGAGGUGAUUGCUCUAGGCUAAGACCCUUAACUUUGUCCAGACUCAGAGUCCUCAUUUAUAAGCAGCGGCAAUUGCAUCUGAGAGUUUCUAAGGUGCUUUCUCCCUUCAAUGUUCUCUGAUACAAAGAAAUCUGGAGACUGUUAUUGUUUGCUUCUAUUUUAAGCCUUCCACUGUGUAUUCCAAUAAGGAUAAGUCCAGAGGAUGACAUUUGAGAGCAUGGGACCUCUCUCCCAUUGUCUUUCUGUGAGGUCAGGACAAUGCCUUCCGUGUUCAUAAUGCCAGUCAGAACUAGAUGCUACCGUAUAUGUUCUACCAGGCAAUGUAUAUUAUGCAGCUAUUUAAAAAAUAAUGCAGAAAACCUUUGGAAUCACUUGGGAAUGUAUCUCCAAAGGCAAGUGGGGGCUAGAUGGUAAUGUGAGAAAGUGAUAGCUUUUUUUUUUUUUUUUGGCAUUUACUAUUACAGGCACGUUCAGGCAUUUCUUUGUUUUCUUUUGACCAGGGAUGGGCAAACAUUUUCUGUACGAGCCAGAGAGUAAAUAUUUUGGGCUCAUGGGUUAUCAUGUCUCUGUUGCAAUUAUUCAGCUUUGUUGUUUAGCAGAAAAGCACCCAUAGACGAUAUGUAAACAACUGUUUGUGGCUAUGUUCCAAUAAAACUUUAUGGACCCUGAAAUUUGAAUUUCAUAUAAUCUUCAUGUAUCACAAAAUCUUUUUUU